rnacentral:rRNA from 1 species
CAGCCGCCGCGGUAAUACGUAGGUGGCAAGCGUUGUCCGGAAUUAUUGGGCGUAAAGGGCUCGCAGGCGGUUUCUUAAGUCUGAUGUGAAAGCCCCCGGCUCAACCGGGGAGGGUCAUUGGAAACUGGGAAACUUGAGUGCAGAAGAGGAGAGUGAAUUCCACGUGUAGCGGUGAAAUGCGUAGAGAUGUGGAGGAACACCAGUGGCGAAGGCGACUCUCUGGUCUGUAACUGACGCUGAGGAGCGAAAGCGUGGGGAGCGAACAGGAUUAGAUACCCGUGUAGUCCCUGUCUCUUAUACC